AAUGAUACAAGACAGUCACAUCAAGAGCUGCUGAAGCAAAAACUUCAAGGUGGGGAGAAGGAAUCAAACAAACGUCAUCAUCAUCGUCAUCAUCUGAAUAUUUGUCAGGAAAACUAAUUUUGACUUUUGGGAUGAAUCGGGUCAGGAUCAUUUUUAGCGCUUUCUCUCUCUCUCCCUCUCUCGCUCUCUCUCUCUUGCUCGCUCUCUACGCGCAUGCGUCAAUAAGCAGGAAGAUUUCUGUCGUUUAAUCGGUGGGAAUUUUAAUUCAGGGGAGGGGGAAGAAGUGGAAGAUGAAGAAGGCAAAAGUGGGGACGGGACGAUCGGGCAGCGAGCGAGCGAGAGGCGACUUCGUCUUCCUGAUGACGUGAAAGGCUCGCUGGGUUUAUCGGCGCACGAGGAGAGCAAAAGGCUAUAAUUGGAGCCAUCAUCUGCGGCUGAGAGGCUAAAUGAGGGAUCCCUCGACUCCGGGAUUACCCCCCCCUCCUCACCCCCUCCAAUUUUUUUUUUUAUAUUGGGAAGACGUACCCCAGCGCUAAGCUCCCGCCAGCGACACGUACUCCUCCAGCGCGGCCCUCUUUCACGUCCAAAUGUGUCCUGUCAGGGAGGCUUAGCGCAAAUCUACAUAAUCCCCUUUCAUCGCAAUUAAAGAUAGCAGUGAACAAUAAAA